rnacentral:rRNA from 1 species
AUGAACGCUGGCGGCGUGCCUAAUACAUGCAAGUCGAGCGAACGGACGAGAAGCUUGCUUCUCUGAUGUUAGCGGCGGACGGGUGAGUAACACGUGGAUAACCUACCUAUAAGACUGGGAUAACUUCGGGAAACCGGAGCUAAUACCGGAUGAUAUUUUGAACCGCAUGGUUCAAAAGUGAAAGACGGUCUUUCUGUCACUUAUAGAUGGAUCCGCGCUGCAUUAGCUAGUUGGUAAGGUAACGGCUUACCAAGGCAACGAUGCAUAGCCGACCUGAGAGGGUGAUCGGCCACACUGGAGCUGAGACACGGUCCAGACUCCUACGGGAGGCAGCAGUAGGGAAUCUUACGCAAUGGGCGAAAGCCUGACGGAGCAACGCCGCGUGAGUGAUGAAGGUCUUCGGAUCGUAAAACUCUGUUAUGAGGGAAGAACAGAUGUGUAAGUAACUGUGCACAUCUUGACGGUACCUAAUCAGAAAGCCACGGCUAACUACGUG